ensembl:snoRNA
CCGCAUUCUGAAACCCUCCUGGUGGCCUCGGCCCUGGCCGCCAGGAUAAGAAUGAAUGCCAGAGGAAAAGGGCGAUCAUCCAAAACGUGGAGCUCCGCCCGUGGCUCGCCGUUAUUUCACGUCCUCGACACU